rnacentral:rRNA from 1 species
AGCGAACGCUGGCGGCGUGCUUAACACAUGCAAGUCGCGCGGGAAAANAGACUUUCGGUCGUUGAGUAGAGCGGCGGACGGGUGCGUAAGACGCGGGUGACCUAUCCGAGAGGCGGGGAUAACCCAGCGAAAGCGGGGCUAAUACCGGAUGAGCCCCCAGGCGGAAACGCGCGGGGGCGAAAGAUGCUACUCGAUAGUGGCAUGUCCUCACGGAGGGGCCCACGGCCUAUCAGCUAGUUGGU